rnacentral:lncRNA from 1 species
CACAGCCACACAAACACUGCCGCCCCCCUCCGGAGCACAGGAAGGAAUGAAGAAGUUCCACCUGAGCCUCCCAACCACACUGGCUUCCUUGUGGUCCCAGCUGUCUAGAGUGCGAUAACAAGAAUAUAUUUCCUCUGAAUCCAGAAGUCAGCCUGGGUCCUUGAGGUGACCUUGUGGUCUACUUUCUAGAGUCUAACUGCAGGAUGGCUCUACUCAGCAUGCGGUUACAUCAUGGAGUUCUUAGUACCGCAUCGGUCCUCCUCCACGGCAUCUGCCUCUGUGCUGCUUCCAGCCCGGUCUUCCCGUCCGUCUGCAGUGGCUUGCUUCUCAUCCAUGCCUUUCCAGACCUCUCCCAACUCACCCUUUGUUUUGUUCUUUUAUCUACCCUUGUCAUCCAGAGCACUUAGCUGCCGGUUCUGCUUUUAUAAAUAUUUUUAAAAAAAUAAACCCCUUCAUU